rfam:Natranaerobius trueperi strain DSM 18760 ZB100023, whole genome shotgun sequence.
UGGCCCUUUAAAUUAGUCCUGCGAGGCUAAUAAGGGAGAGUCAUCUAAAUAUAGACUCCUGUAAAGACGGGGGACCUGUGCCAGAUUUAGAUGUAUAACUUCCUAUUAGCCUUGUAUGCAAAUAGGAAGUUUUUUUAU